UCGCACUUAGAAGACGAGCACUGCUAUGAGUCUAAGGUUGCAGUCUGUCCGAUCUGUGGAACCAAAGUUUGGAAAGACAUGGCCGGCCACAUAAUGCUAGACCACAGUCAGCUUUUCAAGAUAUCCUUUCAAACGUUUUGAAACACGAACAAAAUCAGAUAAUUCUCCUUGA